rnacentral:misc_RNA from 1 species
UCCGGCUUGUCACCGGCAGUUUCCUUAGAGUUCCCAGCAUUACCUGUUGGCAACUAAGGACGAGGGUUGCGCUCGUUGCGGGACUUAACCCAACAUCUCACGACACGAGCUGACGACAGCCAUGCAGCACCUGUGUUCCAGCCAGCCAAACUGAAGGAUACCGUCUCUGGUAUCCAUACUGGACAUGUCAAGGCCUGGUAAGGUUCUUCGCGUUGCCUCGAAUUAAA